rnacentral:rRNA from 1 species
UACGUAGGGUGCGAGCGUUAAUCGGAAUUACUGGGCGUAAAGCGUGCGCAGGCGGUGAUGUAAGACAGAUGUGAAAUCCCCGGGCUCAACCUUGGAACUGCAUUUGUGACUGCAUCGCUGGAGUGCGGCAGAGGGGGAUGGAAUUCCGCGUGUAGCAGUGAAAUGCGUAGAUAUGCGGAGGAACACCGAUGGCGAAGGCAAUCCCCUGGGCCUGCACUGACGCUCAUGCACGAAAGCGUGGGGAGCAAACAGG